GCUAACCAUGCAAGUCGAACGCUCACCUUCGGGUGGGAGUGGCAGACGGGUGAGUAACACGUGGGAACGUACCCUUUGGUUCGGGACAACUCUGGGAAACUGGAGCUAAUACCGGAUACGCCCUUUUGGGGAAAGGUUUACUGCCGAAGGAUCGGCCCGCGUCCGAUUAGCUAGUUGGUGGGGUAACGGCCUACCAGGGCGACGAUCAGUAGCUGGUCUGAGAGGAUGAUCAGCCACACUGGGACUGAGGCACGGCCCAGACUCCUACGGGAGGCAGCAGUGGGGAAUAUUGGACAAUGGGCGCAAGCCUGAUCCAGCCAUGCCGCGUGAGUGAUGAAGGCCUUAGGGUUGUAAAGCUCUUUUAUCCGGGACGAUAAUGACGGUACCGGAGGAAUAAGCCCCGGCUAACUUCGUGCCAGCAGCCGCGGUAAUACGAAGGGGGCUAGCGUUGCUCGGAAUCACUGGGCGUAAAGGGCGCGUAGGCGGCGUUUUAAGUCGGGGGUGAAAGCCUGUGGCUCAACCACAGAAUGGCCUUCGAUACUGGGACGCUUGAGUCUGGUAGAGGUUGGUGGAACUGCGAGUGUAGAGGUGAAAUUCGUAGAUAUUCGCAAGAACACCGGUGGCGAAGGCGGCCAACUGGACCGGCACUGACGCUGAGGCGCGAAAGCGUGGGGAGCAAACAGGAUUAGAUACCCUGGUAGUCCACGCUGUAAACGAUGAAUGCUAGCUGUUGGGAUGCAUGCAUCU
rnacentral:rRNA from 1 species